rnacentral:rRNA from 1 species
GACGAACGCUGGCGGCGCGCCUAACACAUGCAAGUCGAACGAGCGAGAGAGAGCUUGCUUUCUCGAGCGAGUGGCGAACGGGUGAGUAACGCGUGAGGAACCUGCCUCAAAGAGGGGGACAACAGUUGGAAACAACUGCUAAUACCGCAUAAGCCCACGACCCGGCAUCGGGUAGAGGGAAAAGGAGCAAUCCGCUUUGAGAUGGCCUCGCGUCCGAUUAGCUAGUUGGUGAGGUAACGGCCCACCAAGGCGACGAUCGGUAGCCGGACUGAGAGGUUGAACGGCCACAUUGGGACUGAGACACGGCCCAGACUCCUACGGGAGGCAGCAGUGGGGAAUAUUGCACAAUGGGGGAAACCCUGAUGCAGCGACGCCGCGUGGAGGAAGAAGGUCUUCGGAUUGUAAACUCCUGUUGUUGAGGAAGAUAAUGACGGUACUCAACAAGGAAGUGACGGCUAACUACGUG